AGUGAACGCUGGCGGUAGGCCUAACACAUGCAAGUCGAACGGCAGCACAGUAAGAGCUUGCUCUUACGGGUGGCGAGUGGCGGACGGGUGAGGAAUACAUCGGAAUCUACUUUUUCGUGGGGGAUAACGUAGGGUAACUUACGCUAAUACCGCAUACGACCUACGGGUGAAAGCAGGGGAUCUUCGGACCUUGCGCGAUUGAAUGAGCCGAUGUCGGAUUAGCUAGUUGGCGGGGUAAAGGCCCACCAAGGCGACGAUCCGUAGCUGGUCUGAGAGGAUGAUCAGCCACACUGGAACUGAGACACGGUCCAGACUCCUACGGGAGGCAGCAGUGGGGAAUAUUGGACAAUGGGCGCAAGCCUGAUCCAGCCAUACCGCGUGGGUGAAGAAGGCCUUCGGGUUGUAAAGCCCUUUUGUUGGGAAAGAAAAGCAGCAGGUUAAUACCCCGCUGUUCUGACGGUACCCAAAGAAUAAGCACCGGCUAACUUCGU
rnacentral:rRNA from 1 species